GACCAUGCGGAAAUCGCAUGCAAUAUCGGUGACGUCUAUGGAGCCCAUAAUAAUUAAUAUAUCAUAUUGGUUCUCUUUGUUACACCAAAAAGGUGUUACAAAAUUACCAACCAGUUUUCUCAAAUUGGUCUGAAAAAAAAAAACUGACAACUUCACUUAUUAUCCAACCGUCAGUCCCUUUGGUCGUUCCUUCUAUUUCAUUCUGCAAAAUUACAAAAAAAAUGUCUGACAACAGUAGUAAUAAGAAGAAAAUCACUUGCGUACCAUGUAAUGAAAUUAUAGAAAGGUUAAAAGAAGAACCUAGGAAAGAAAAUGAUGGGAACUGUGCAAAUUGCGUAUGUGGAAAAAACUGCUCCAACACAGACAAUUUGAAAAAAGACAAUCAACCCAGCAAUUGAAAGAAAUCUAAAACAUACACAUUUGUAACCAUGAAUAGACACGAUUUGAAGAAAUAGCUGCAACAGUCAGAAAAGCCAUCACAAAAUUAGAGAUGACAUUUACAUUUUUUAUUAAACCGAUUUGAGUUGUA